rnacentral:rRNA from 1 species
CAGCAGCCGCGGGAAUACGAAGGGGGCUAGCGUUGCUCGGAAUGACUGGGCGUAAAGGGCGCGUAGGCGGAUUGUUUAGUUAGGCGUGAAAUUCCUGGGCUUAACCUGGGGACUGCGCUUAAUACAGGCAGUCUAGAGUGAGGAAGAGGGUUGUGGAAUUCCCAGUGUAGGGGUGAAAUUCGUAGAUAUUGGGAAGAACGCCGGUGGCGAAGGCGGCGACCUGGUCCUUGACUGACGCUGAGGCGCGAAAGCGUGGGGGGCAAACAGGAUUAGAUACCCCAGUAGUCCCUGUCUCUUAUAC